rnacentral:rRNA from 1 species
UACAGAGGGUGCAAGCGUUGUUCGGAAUUAUUGGGCGUAAAGCGCGUGUAGGCGGCUUUGCAAGUCGGGUGUGAAAGCCCUCGGCUCAACCGAGGAAGUGCGCCCGAAACUGCAGAGCUUGAGUACCGGAGAGGAUGGCGGAAUUCCCCAAGUAGAGGUGAAAUUCGUAGAUAUGGGGAGGAACACCGGUGGCGAAGGCGGCCAUCUGGACGGAUACUGACGCUGAGACGCGAAAGCGUGGGGGGCAAACAGG